GUCGAGAAUCUUUCACAAUGGGGGCAACCCUGAUGGAGCGACGCCACGUGGAGGAUAAGGUCUUCGGAUUGUAAACUCCUGUCAUGCGUGAACAAGGUUGCUUGGUUAAUACCUGGGCAAAUUGAUGGUAACGCAAGAGGAAGAGACGGCUAACUCUGUGCCAGCAGCCGCGGUAAUACAGAGGUCUCAAGCGUUGUUCGGAAUCACUGGGCGUAAAGGGUGCGUAGGUGGCGUGGUAAGUCAGAUGUGAAAGCCCGGGGCUCAACCUCGGAACUGCAUCCGAUACUGCCAUGCUAGAGUACUGGAGAGGUGACUAGAAUUCUCGGUGUAGCAGUGAAAUGCGUAGAUAUCGAGAGGAAUACCAAAGGCGUAGGCAGGUCACUGGACAGUUACUGACACUGAGGCACGAAGGCCAGGGGAGCGAACGGGAUUAGAAACCCGGGUAGUCC
rnacentral:rRNA from 1 species